rnacentral:rRNA from 1 species
CUUGCACCCCAUAAGAGGUCCAGCCUGCCCAGUGAAAUAUUCAACGGCCGCGGUAUCCUAACCGUGCGAAGGUAGCGUAAUCACUUGUUCUCUAAAUCAGGACUAGUAUGAACGGCACCACGAGGGUUAUACUGUCUCCUUUUUCCAAUUAGUGAACUUAAUCUUCCCGUGAAGAAGCUGGAAUAAUCCUAUAAGACGAGAAGACCCUUUGGAGCUUUAAACAUCUUAGCACUUGCAUUACUAUCUUUACAUUCCCGAAUACUACAACCCCCGCAUGAUGACUAUAAGUUUUAGGUUGGGGUGACCGCGGAGUAAAAUAAACCCUCCACGCUGUAAGAAUCUUUCAAAUCUUAACUAAGAGCCACACCUCUAAGUAUCAGUAUACUGACAUCUAUUGACCCAAUAUAUUUGAUCAACGAAC